rnacentral:lncRNA from 1 species
AUAAUAAAAACCACUUAACAGAGAAGACAUAUCUUUCCUUUUAUAAAUGAGACAGCUGUGUGCAUGUUUUUAUAUUUAAAAACUCUUCAAAAUGAACUUUUUUUUAUUAGCACCAACCCAAAAUGUUUCAAAAUAGUGUGAAAGCUUUCAAGUUCUCCAGCUUGUGAGCUGUAUCGUUGCACUUUGGUUGGCCCAAAUAAAGGCAUUGACUGACUGAGCGUUUCUGAGGCUUUCUCACCUUUAUGGACCAACAAGGUUGCCUUUGUUUUUGUUUUAUGAAUGCCAUUCAUGUUUUCUAGUGUGUAAGCAAGGGAUAGGUACCUCACUGUGAAAACUAUGGUAUAUCAGGCCUUUCCUGAACUAGUGCUUGUGGACCCUGGCAUAAAGCUUCCAGUAAACUAAUCAAUAGUACUCCUGUGAAAUUAAUUCAGAGUAAAUGCCAGGGCUUAGCCUUUAGAAAUGUGAAGUGAUAAAGAAAGGGGUGCUUCUGAGUUUCUGUAUAGUGCUUUUCCUUCACCGUCAAGUAAUUCCAGGCAGCCUUUGAACCCUUGGGAAUAGGAUACAUUGUUUCCCCAUCUGGGGAUGACUUUUCUAAUUGUAGAAACUAAGAAAAUGUAAAACCAGCACGGUUUUGGCUCUAUAUUCGUAAUCUUGUAACUGUUCAUUGUUUUGUUUUGUUUUUAAAAAAUGCUAUUUUAUAUUCUUUGAAGAAGAAGCAGAAGCUAAGAAGAUCCAGUAUCUAGGUUAGCGAUCCCUUUUGUUAUAGCAAACCGUGCCAGUUAAAUAUCUAGUGCCAGUUUGAUGUAUUCCAGGUGAAAGCAGCACACGUAAUCUACUGAGCAAUACUUUCUCUGGAGAUAUCCAGUACUGGGAAUUUUACAGGUAGGUAGCCAUGUUGGUAUCUGAAGAAGUAUGCAUGCACACGAAAGUUCAUACCAAUAACAAACUUAGUUGGUCUUUAAGGUGCUACUGGAAGGAAUUUCUUUCUUUUGUUGGGAAUUUUGCGUUAAGAAUGUCUCACUAGGAUUUUUGUUUUUUGUCUUCCAAAGGCUAUACUCAGGCAACAUAAUGGGGUUUCAAUUUUGUCUAACUGUCCUUCAGUUUAUCAUCUUUGAAGUUAAUGGCAGAAAAUAGCUACAACUCCAGCUGAUGCCUUGGUUCCUGCUGAAUGAAACCAGCCCUGUUUGUUACUUCCUAUACCAGCUCGGGUUAUGUGAUGGUAGACUUGGUAACGCUGUCACAGCUUGAUAAACCACUAAUUUGUUUCAGAUGAGAGGUAGCAGUAAUGCAAAAUCAGAAUCAAUUAUCUAGGAAAGGAAAGAUUUACAUCCCAGAGUUAUUUGGAUUGGGUGACUCAGGAGAUAGAUAAUAUGUUUCAAAAUGAGCAAUUUUCUACACUGUUGUGCUUGAUAUAAAGUGCUGGACUGGCACAUUUUUGUAGUAUCAGUGCUGGCACCCAAUAAGCAACCUGAGAUUACAAUCUUAAAUUUGUUUUAUCCUCAUUAAAGUGUUUGGCACUGGAAAGGAUGCAUGUUUCGUCUUUUCUGUUCUCAUUACCAUUUCAAACUUGUCCCUGGCCGUAUUACUUUUGUUUCAACUACAAUUUCAUUCUACUUUCAUUGAAAAAAAAGAAGAGAAGAGAAGAGAAGAGAAGAGAAGAGAAGAGAGAAAGAGGCUAACAUCUGAAUCAGACCCUUGUUUUCAUUUUUUUUAACAAAACACCUGCCCUCUGCAGAAAAUACCACUAAGCAUCCAUUCGUUCUUUCUUGACAAUGCUGUUUAUCAAAAUGAUUUCAUACAAUUUCUCACAAUAUCUUUGUUGAAAUGUUCAUUGUGCUAAACAUCUUUCUAAACAUCGAAGGGGGAAGGGAGCCAAUGACUUAGUUCUACCCUUCAUCCCCAGACAAGUCCCUCCAUUAUUUUCUUGUUUGUUGGAAAAAUGAUCUCCAAAUUCCACCUUAAGUUUCAUAUGCAACAACCCAUUUCAUUGCCCACAACCCAUGUCAAUAGGUCACAAUGACAUCGUGGAUGCCUUGUCUCACUUCCAGAUGGAAUGUUUUUGUGACCUGGCAUCCGAGGCUGCCCAGCUACCAGAUCUCUUCCUGGAAGAUCUUUGGGAAACCGGACAACAGAGGGAGUAUUACAGGCACUUGCACCCACCACACUGCAGGCCCAUACAAGAGCAUGGUCAUCUUUUGAAGGCUUUAGAGCCACACAUUGUUGCUCUCAUAGGCACUCCGCUGAUGAAUCUGAUGUUCUAAAAUACCUGGUCUUCCUCAAGAGGAAAGGCUUGCCCAUUAAGACCAUGAGCAUCCACAGGGCAGCUGUCUCCUACUUUAGCAAAUGCUUUUGGUUGCCAGAACCCUGUAAUACUUUCCAUGUGAAAAAUCUAAUUGUGGGAUGGCGCCGCCGCAGGCACCCAGCAGUGCCAGACACCAAAAACGCCUAUUACUCUCAAAACCCUGUGGCUGAUUUGGGACAAGUUGCGCAGUGUAUGUUGGUCCUCCUUGGAGGUCAAGUUAUUUCGAGCUGCUUAUUCAAUGGCAUUUUCCGGGGCGCUGGGUUUCGGCGAGUGCACUGAGGGUGCGGCAUCGUCGCUCCAUGCAGGUCUGUGGUUUAAAGGUCUAAAGUUCCAUGAAGGCCUCUUGGAACUUAGUAUAUGUUCUUUCAAAACCAAUCAAUUACGCAGGGGCACUGUCCUGACUCUGGCCCCCUCCCCACACAGUGCGCCAUCCGCGAUCUAAAAAACAGCAAUAAUUAAGGAUUUCUGGAAUUCCCACAAGGAACCCUGGCAUGAGAGAGGGACCAACUCCUGGCAGGGGAUGUGGGAGGAGUGAGUGUUUCAUGGGUCCACUGGAGAUAUGGGAAUAUGCAGGGCACAGGACUCCUAUAGCUAAAUGUUUCCUUUUUAUUUUGCAAUAUUGAGUUGGGUUAAAGACUUGGCAGGGUGCCUCCAUAGACAAAUUACUGCAGAAAGCAUUUCCUGGGAGUAGAUUUGAAAAACCACUGAUCUAAGGGAUCAGUUUGCAAUGUAUUUGACCCCUACACUCAAUCACAGUGAUGUUCAAAGCGAGACUUAUCAUCUUGGUUGUCUUAUUGGAAUCCUCUGAGUUUCAAAGGUUUGUGUAGUUUACUUAACUCCUUCGAGCAGAACUCAGAUGUGCUUUGGGCUUAUAUAGAUAGAAAUUUCAUCCAUCACAAGCAAAAAAUAAGAAGUGUGAUUCUUUCAGAAAGUUUGUAGCUACCAGGUCUCCUGCUGGUUAUUGAUGCAGAGGGAUUACAGGGUAUUGGUUUAUAGACAGUGGAAUCAGUAAAUUUAAUAAAGUCUCUCCUGUAGUUAAUCAAAGUAAUUAACACAAGGGUGCAGAGGGGAACAGGAAGCAGUGCAAUUUGGCUGGAGGAAAGCUGGCUGGAAGAGAACUCAUCAGUGCAUGAUAAACUACUUAAUCAUUAGCAGAACUUCAAAGCCAUAAGUAUUUAUUUACAUUUAUUUUCUGGCUGCUUCAAGCUGCAUCACAUAAUAAAUGUGCUUCCCUAAGGACAGGGAUGAACAUGUGUUAUCACUUGGGACUGUGGUGGGCUUCUAUAUGAGAACCUUCCAGCCAUGGAAGUGUCUUCUCGCUUGUAAACCUGACAAUGAAAUGGAUUAGUUCAGCUAAAUGUAGGCUGAAUGGAAAGGGGCUAGCUUUGAGCUCACAUACAUGGCCUAACUACUCCGGGUGAAAUUGGUUGUCUGUACCAUUCUUUGAAAAGUUAGAAAAAUUUCACCAUACAUACCGUGCUAUUUGCCAAAGGGAAAUCUUGUAAAGAGUAUGGCUGGAGAGUUGAAGGAAAGCGUGGUCUAAAAGAAAUGACCGCUGUUCAGAAUAUGUGGAAAAAUCUGAAAGCACCUUUAAGAGAAGUCUGCAAACCUUAGGGGAAUUUAGUUGGAUUUGGGCUGCCUCUCCUUGAAGACCUCAAGGUGUUUAAGCUCUUAAACAUCACAAUUCCAGUGAACCUUGGACUUUUGGCCCAUCAUUUCCCCAUUGCUCCAAGGCAGUGGUGAAGCUGGAACGAAGCACCAUUGCCUAAAUAUCUCAUAUGUUAACAGCGGUAGUUUUUGACUUUUUGUAUCUUGAGUAGACAUGGAAACUACUUAGCUUGUUAAACUGAAAGUAGUCUUUUAAAAAGUGGAUAUAUUCUCAGGUUGGAUCCUUCUGUUUGCAGGGGGAAUUGAGAACUAAUAGAAGCUCCCUGCUGGAGGUAGGUGACAGGACAGCAGUUUUAGUCCAUUUCCACUUUUCUCUGCAACUGCCAGGGCUCCCUCCCAUGCAUUUUUGGAGAAUCUCCCAGAAGCAAAUCCCAGGGCAAAGUAGAAACUGGUGAAAAUCACCACCUCACCCAUCUGGGUAUACCCCUGUAUGGUUUUUCUGGAGUUACACAGCACUAGUAGAGCAUUCUAUAAAAUGUGGGGUUUUUAAAAUAUCAGUUCCAUAUUUUAUGUUUAUGUUACAUUACUUGACAUCAUUUGAUAACUGACAUGGUUGUGUAUAGUAUUAAGUACCUGACAGCAUUUGCUAGGUGAUAUGCAGUAGGUUUCACUAUUUGACAACUGAAGUGAUAGCAUUUGGUACUAAUAGGUGACAUGCUGUAGUGUCAGUAUCUGGCAUCUAAUAUGUCAUUGUGUGGAGUAAAAACGUCUUUUUGUAUCCAUUUGACAUGAAACCCAAAUUGAACAGUUACAUAUGGAAUGCUGAGAUCAAAUUUUGAUUCUGAGUUCCGAGGCCCCUGAUUGAAUUCAAAAUCCAAAUCUUGAGUUAUGGUUUUUAAUAGUUUUUUUUAAAAAACAACACACAAAACAACAGCAACCAGAUGUUCCCAUUUUAUAUACAGUGGUACCUUAGUUCUUAAACUUAAUCUGUUCCGGGAGUCCGUUUGAAUCCCGAAACCGUUCAAAAACCAAGACACGGCUUCUGAUUGGUUACAGGAGCUUCCUGCACUCAAGUGGAAGCUAUGUUGGACAUUCAGCUUCCGAAAAAUGUUCACAAACCAGAACACUUAAUUCCGGGUUGCGCCGUUCAGGAGCCGAUUAGUUUGACAACUAAGCCAUUUGAGAACCAAGGUACCACUGUAUUUUGCUUCAUCAUUCUAAUAAUAUUAUUAGGUAUGUUAUGCUACUUAUAAGUGAACGAAGGCAUUAUAAUUGGGACGAUUAUACUUGUCAUAUUUCACUUUUAAACCCUUCUAAAAUGGGACGGAGAAUUUGAGACUUAGCCCACUUAAUGAACACUUGGUUGGGCUUCAGACACUGAUCUCCUUUGCUCAAAUCCAAUACUUCACUGCUCAGGUUCUAAAAACAGCACAGUUAAGAAGAGUUCAGUCUCAAGCACCUAGUACAUUUGAUAGACCCUUGUGCUCAGGGCUUGCAAAUUUACACACAGGAGCACUCUCACGUACAUAACAUGUAUUUUUUUCUUUCUCUUUGGCAAAAAUCUACCAAAGAGGUGGUACAUUUGGCUUUUCUUAGUUUAAAAACUUUCUUUCUAAACAGCAAUAUUCAUUAUUAAAGUGUAUCAUCAUUUAUUGAAGCCAGCAGGGAGACAUAUUUUGAAGACAAACUAUGCAGGUUGUAGUAUUAUUUACGUAAGAUGCAGGGUUGAGAUCCACACUGGGAAUGAACAACUUCAGAAGCCUUCCAAAUGAUUGAGCUAUAUAACAGAAUUUCCAUCUCUUUGUAACUACUAGAGAUAUGGCACAUCUUCUCAAAAGUAAUAAGAACAAAGUUGAUAACGGAACAUCUUAACUUUGAUAAAAUGGGUUAGGAAGCCCGGAGUGCUAGCUCUUUAACAGAAGCAUGGAACUGAAUUUCAGGAGCUUUUCCUCCACUAGAGUAGAGUAUGUAGGAUUGUAGUGCACUUUUGUGAGAAGAGUUUUCGAACUCAAGGAAACAAGCAAAAGCAUAUUAGCAGAAACCUUUUUUUGUUAGACUUCUCCACUCGGCCAAUCUCCCAUUCUUCAAGCAACAAAGGAAUAGCUUCUUAUUAGAAUUUCACAGCACCAUUCCACUGGUUAUUGGAAUAAAUCAAACACAGACUUAUAAAAUGUGUACCAGGUCUCCUGUAUGAUAGUCCUAAUUGGGAUUUGCCAAGCUUUCUGCUGCACCUCCUACAAUAAGCUUGAUUCUUCAGGAGUGAGAAGGAGAGGAAGGGGAGUUUAGGAGGAACUCAAUUUUAGUGUCACCCAGAGCUCAUGUAAUUUAAGAGGCAAGAAAGAUGUCUUUAUAAUGUAUUGUUAUAUUUGAAAUAGAAGAUCCAUGCAAAUAGAUGGAACAUUUAUCCUAGGCACUAAAGAAGCAGCCAGGGACCAACUGUAUCACUUUUUUUUUAAAGGAUUUGGCAUAAUGCGUUUCAAAAACAGCAAAGAAAAAAGAGGCAUCUUAAGACAAACUAUGAAGGUGCUGCUUUGCUGUGUUUGUGUCUUUCUUGUCCACACUCACCAACAAAGAAAUGAAUUGAUAAAGAAAUAAUGAGAGAGAAACUAAAAUGCACUAAAUAUUUACAGUAUUUAUCCAGCCCAACGUGUUUCUAUCACAAUCUGUUUCAACAAAAAAAUAAAACUCUUACGUUACCUGCGGCUCCAGGUAACACUUCAAGUAUCUGAUGAAGUGGACUAUAGUUCACUAUAUUUGCUGUAAUAAAUAUGUCAGUCUGAGAUGCUACAAGAAUCUUCACUAUA